CCUACGGGUGGCAGCAGUGAGGGAUAUUGGUCAAUGGGGGAAACCCUGAACCAGCAACGCCGCGUGAGGGAAGACGGUUUUCGGAUUGUAAACCUCUGUCCUCUGUGAAGAUCAUGUCGGUAGCAGAGGAGUAAGCGACGGCUAACUCCGUGCCAGCAGCCGCGGUAAUACGUUGGGAGCAAGCGUUGUCCGGAUAUACUGGGUGUAAAGGGUGCGUAGGCGGGUUUGCAAGUCAGAAGCGAAAUCCAUGGGCUUAACCCAUGAACUGCUUUUGAAACUGCAGAGCUUGAGUGGGGUAGAGGUAGGCGGAAUUCCCGGUGUAGCGGUGAAAUGCGGAGAGAUCGGGAGGAACACCAGAGGCGAAGGCGGCCUACUGGGCUCUAACUGACGCUGAGGCACGAAAGCGUGGGUAGCAAACAGGAUUAGAUACCCGUGUAGUC
rnacentral:rRNA from 1 species